AUGCUUAGUACGGCGAGUGAGCGGCAAAAGCUCAAAUUUGAAAUCUGGUACCUUCGGUGCCCGAGUUGUAAUUUGGAGAGGGCAACUUUGGGGCCGUUCCUUGUCUAUGUUCCUUGGAACAGGACGUCAUAGAGGGUGAGAAUCCCGUGUGGCGAGGAGUGCGGUUCUUUGUAAAGUGCCUUCGAAGAGUCGAGUUGUUUGGGAAUGCAGCUCUAAGUGGGUGGUAAAUUCCAUCUAAAGCUAAAUAUUGGCGAGAGACCGAUAGCGAACAAGUACAGUGAUGGAAAGAUGAAAAGAACUUUGAAAAGAGAGUGAAAAAGUACGUGAAAUUGUUGAAAGGGAAGGGCAUUUGAUCAUACAUGGUGUUUUGUGCCCUCUGCUCCUUGUGGGUAGGGGAAUCUCGCAUUUCACUGGGCCAGCAUCAGUUUUGGUGGCAGGAUAAAUCCAUAGGAAUGUAGCUUGCCUCGGUAAGUAUUAUAGCCUGUGGGAAUACUGCCAGCUGGGACUGAGGACUGCGACGUAAGUCAAGGAUGCUGGCAUAAUGGUUAUAUGCCGCCCGUCUUG
rnacentral:rRNA from 1 species